UACGUAGGGGGCAAGCGUUGUCCGGAAUCAUUGGGCGUAAAGAGCGUGUAGGCGGCCCGGUAAGUCCGCUGUGAAAGUCGGGGGCUCAACCCUCGAAUGCCGGUGGAUACUGUCGGGCUAGAGUGCGGAAGAGGCGAGUGGAAUUCCUGGUGAUAGCGGUGAAAUGCGCAGAUAUCAGGAGGAACACCUAUUGCGAAGGCAGCUCGCUGGGACGUAACUGACGCUGGAGGUGCGAAAGCGUGGGGAGCAAACAGG
rnacentral:rRNA from 1 species